GAUGAACGCUGGCGGCGUGCUUAACACAUGCGAGUCGAACGGAAAGGCUCCUGCUUGCAGGGGCACUCGAGUGGCGAACGGGUGAGUAACACGUGGGUGAUCUGCCCUGCACUUCGGGAUAAGCCUGGGAAACUGGGUCUAAUACCGGAUGGACCAUCGUUUAGUGUCGGUGGUGGAAAGUUUUUUCGGUGUGGGAUGAGCUCGCGGCCUAUCAGCUUGUUGGUGGGGUAAUGGCCUACCAAGGCGUCGACGGGUAGCCGGCCUGAGAGGGUGUACGGCCACAUUGGGACUGAGAUACGGCCCAGACUCCUACGGGAGGCAGCAGUGGGGAAUAUUGCACAAUGGGCGCAAGCCUGAUGCAGCGACGCCGCGUGGGGGAUGACGGCCUUCGGGUUGUAAACUCCUUUCGCCAGGGACGAAGCGAAAGUGACGGUACCUGGAUAAGAAGCACCGGCUAACUACGUG
rnacentral:rRNA from 1 species